rnacentral:rRNA from 1 species
UACGUAGGGGGCUAGCGUUGUCCGGAAUCAUUGGGCGUAAAGCGCGCGUAGGCGGCCCGGUAAGUCCGCUGUGAAAGUCCAGGGCUCAACCCUGGAAAGCCGGUGGAUACUGCCGGGCUAGAGUCCGGGAGAGGCGAGUGGAAUUCCUGGUGUAGCGGUGGAAUGCGCAGAUAUCAGGAGGAACACCGAUUGCGAAGGCAGCUCGCUGGGACGUCACUGACGCUGAGACGCGAAAGCGUGGGGAGCAAACAGG